GCCACGCCCGCUCAGACUACGAAAGGAAUCGACGGGACCCGCACAAGCAGCGGAGCGUGUGGUUAAUUCGAUGCUACACGAAGAACCUUACCAAGGUUUGACAUGUAAGUGGUAGUGAUCUGAAAAGUGAACGACCCUUCGGGGAGCUUACACAGGUGCUGCAUGGCUGUCGUCAGCUCGUGUCGUGAGAUGUUCGGUUAAGUCCGCUAACGAGCGCAACCCUCACUGUGUGUUACAUGUGUCACACGGGACUGCCGGUUUUAAGCCGGAGGAAGGCGAGGAUGACGUCAAGUCAGCAUGGCCUUUAUAUCUUGGGCUACACACACGCUACAAUGGUCUGUACAAUAGGUUGCCAAGCCGCGAGGCGGAGCCAAUCCUUAAAGCAGGCCUCAGUUCAGAUUGCAGGCUGCAACCCGCCUGCAUGAAGAUGGAGUUGCUAGUAACCGCAGGUCAGCUAUACUGCGGUGAAUACGUUCCCGGGUCUU
rnacentral:rRNA from 1 species